GACGAACGCUGGCGGCGUGCCUAAUACAUGCAAGUCGAACGGAAAGGCGCUGAUCUUGUUGGUCUCGCGUGUGUCGAACGCGUGUGUAUCACGCGUGUAUACCGUCCCUGACUUUGGGGUAUCUCUAGGAAACUCGGGAUCUAAUCGGGUAUGAGCUCCUGCUGCACGUUGGGUGUUGGUAAGUUGCGGCGUUUUGGGAUGGAAGGGCGGAUUAUCAUCUUGUUGGUGGGGUAGUGGCGUACCAAGGCUCUGACGGGUAGCCGCACUGGGAGGGUGACAGGCCACAUUGGGACUGAGAUAGGGCCCAGACGGCUACGGGAGGAAGGGGUGGAAAAUAUUGCACAAUAGGCGGAAGCCUGAUGCAGCAACGUCGCGUGCGGGAUGACGGCCUUCGGGUUGUAAACCGCUUUCGCCUGUGACGAACCGUGAGUGACGGUAAUGGGUCAGGAAGCACCGGCUAACUACGUG
rnacentral:rRNA from 1 species